UCACUUUUGAGUGUCACUUUUGAAUUUUCCAGCAGAGUAACAAGACGUACCUUACUGAAGCACUCUCUGCAUAGAUCAGCUCAAAUCUUCAAGCAAAAUGAAGCGUCUUUUGGUGCUUGUUCUGGUUUCAGUUAUUCUAGUGGCUGAAUUCCUGGAUGAAACAGACGGAAGUUUAGAUUUUAGUCGUCGUCGUCGUAGUCCUCCUCGACCUUAUACAGAGAAAGAACUGGAGAAUGACGUUCUGUGUGUUGCCCAGGAGGAAGACGUUCAUCAGAUGGAGGAAGCUGUGGGAAAACUUGCGCUUCACUUCCCUGAACAGUGGAAGCCGUGAUCAUAAACUACAAAGAAUCCGCAACCCGAAUCCCGUCUACAUAUUAUGAAAAAACGGAUUCAAGAUGUAUUUUAACGAUAGUAUUGCGUUCUGAAUUAACUUUUAAAAGUCCAGAAGAUAUAGAGGAACAUACCAUGAGCAAUGCUUCUUAACCGUAAUCUUCCCCAUAGAAUCAAAACAGGUACUGCCAACUUCUCUACAGUAUAUUAUCCGAGUGAACCGGUUAUGUAACAACAUUCCACUGUGGCAGUUCCGUGUGUUAGUUGCUAGUCAACAGCAACACUUGGAACUGCCACAGUUAUCUCAGAAAAGAGUUUUAAGGGCUAAAACCUCAAUUUUGAUGUCAGAUAUUGUUUAUUUGUACUGUUAUGUUGGCACAUGGCUAAAACUGCAAUUGAUUUUAUAAUAAUUUAUUCUUUGUUAUUGCCUGGUUGCGAUUCUUGUGGAAUUUUGUGUGAACUUGAAAAUGUGACGUUUUCUCUUUGUUCAAUACCAACAACUUACAAAUCGUGUCUUUGUAAUUUUGGAUAUUAAAGACAAAUAAAAUGUACGACAUUGA